CUCUUUUUGCAUAUUUACAUUUUUGCCUCAUUUUAAGGAUGGAAAAAUACUUAUACACCCAACUUUAAUGUAAUGACCAAGCACCCCUGAAUUCUUAUUUUGGCCAAUUUGGUCCUUCAACUUUAUAGUUUGUAGUUUGUACAACUUCUAAAUCAGUACUUCUGUCAGUUAGGUGUUAAAAAACUAACGGGAGACUCACGUGAGAGGCAACUGACAUUACCAAGGGUGAAUCGGCUCAGUUGAGAGGGAGAGAAAAAGCUACGUUUAGAGAGAGACGAACCUGAAUUCUAAAACUGCCGCAACAACCUGCUCUCCGGUGCCGGAGUCUUUGUCCUGUCAUCGUCUUGCCGUUGUAUUGCAUUUUCUGGAGAGGACCACUUUCUUCCUACAUCCCAUUGUGAUUUUGAGCAGCUUCAAUCCUUCAAGAUACUUAAGGAACAUGUACUCUAGUCAAAGGUUAUGAUUCACAAAGGCUAACAGUUCAGGUAGCAACGCAGCAUGAAACAUGAGAGGGCAUUGAUGACACUUUUGAUUGUUUCUCGUGCAUGAGAAAGGAAAAGCACAAUGCCGCAUAAAACAACUUUUGGGGCUUUCUUUCUAGGCAUCUUAAUACUGCAAAAUGGAAGUUGGAUUAGGUCAAGUCACGGCAGAAAGUGUAUAUUUAGUGAUUGGGAAUAUUGAUCAAAGGGAUCUAUUAAAUGUAUUAAUCUUUUGUUUAACCUUCUUGUCUCAUCUGUGUUUUCAUUAAUAUAUAUUUGGAAAACUCAAA